rnacentral:tmRNA from 1 species
GGGGGUGACCAGGGCUCGACGCGGGUCACGAAGCCAUCGGAGCAUGCCGAGGGGCAGCGACCUCGUUAAUCCACCUGCAACGCAAUAGUUGCCAACGACGACAACUACGCGCUGGCCGCCUAAUCCCGGUCAGCCCUCUCUUCCGGCUCGCCUUUAGGCCGGUUUUUUGAGAGGUCAUCCAUAAAGGCUCGCGUAUCGGGCAUGUCCGUCGCCCGGGGCGCUAAAACCUAUCGGACUCGCCGGCGCGCGCGUUUGUUCGCCGACUUGCGCGGCGGUUAACUCAAAGGCGAACUAUGCAUGUAGUGGCCGAUGUGUGUAGGUCUUGCGGACGCGGGUUCGAUUCCCGCCACCUCCACCA